rnacentral:lncRNA from 1 species
CUAAUUGGAAAAGUGAAGGAGGUGGAGGAAAAGAACCAUUGAACUCCCAGGUACUCUAUUAAAUAUCAUACAUGAGAUAAGAUUCAAAGUAUGCAUCCUAUUCUUUGCAUGAAAACAAACAUAACGUUAAUCUCAUCAGCCAAACAAAAGCAUCUUUGAAGGAUAGAUACUAAAGUCUAAGAAGUUGUGGAUAAUCAUAAACUUUUUGGUUAUGCUCAUUCUUUUGGCAUAUUGCUUUUGAAAUCUUAGCUGUAACCCAGUUUGUCUCAUUCUUGUUCUUUUGUCCAAAUUCGGCAGCUACCAUUGCUCAAAUCCCAUUUGUUUUCAUUGUAUUAUGGAAGUCUCCCUAUAUGCGGGGGACUUUAUAUUUAUAUCUUUUGGGUGGUUAUUAUCUAGAAAAAUUUCCCAGUUCAAUUGCUAAUAUUAUUAAUUCUUUUAUCUCUUACUUUACACACACACAUGGAUACAUGUGUGUGUGUGUGUGUACUGCUUUGCUCUGUCAAAGCUGCAUGUUCUGAUUUGGAUUAAGGAAACAGCAUUAGGUAACCAAACUUACGAGCAAGAUUGAGUGCUAACAAGGAGGAAACUUAAACAAUUCAACAUGUGGUUAAGUAAUAACAAUAGAAUUUGCAAACAUGUGAGAAUUUGACAAAGUUUUCCGACUUUUUCACAAAAAAUGUAUUGUUAUGUACUUACUUCCAGCAGCAAUAUUUGUUUCUUGAUAGUUUGUAUACGUAUGUGCACGUAUGUGCUUACAUAAUUGCCCCAUAUUUGCUGGAAUGAAGGAGUCAUUGCUUGAUAAAAUCAAGCCAUUUUUGCAGUUGAGACUUUGAAAUUAGUGAUUUAAGAAAUUUUGUUAGGUAUUUGUUAUUAUUGACUAAAUCAAAACUUCGCCGCAGAAUUGCACCUAAUCAAUGUUGUUUACAUCACACGUGCGGUGAGAAAACUAUUCAAGUAUUGACUCUUAUUAGUUUAGAUCUUGGCUGUUGUCAAAGCUUUUAUUUUAUGAGAUAUGACUUGAUGAACCCAACAGGAGGAUAAUAUUUUCAAUAUUUAGUUAGGAUGAUAAAUCAAUUAAAAAGCAAAUGGGGAAAAAAAUUUGCAAUAGAAGUGACAGCUUGAAUAUAAAAAUAUCACAAGCGUGUGCCAUGCAUCAAUUACUCUUUUGGCUCUGAUGUGAAUGCUAAAGCUAGCAUAAAAAAGGAAGCAAGGUUCUCUGAGUUCAGGUCCAAGAAGCUUGAUUGAGGGAAGAUUAUAUUGUGAGCUGAGAUAAGCUAAAGAGGAAAUGAGGAAUAUUCUUGGGGAGUGUGAGCAUUUUAUUUAUAUUUAUGUCAGUUUAGUAAAACUUUCCUACUUAAUUAAAAAAACCCAAGUGAAUAUACUUGCACCUUGGACUUUAUGUAGUUUCGGACAUAUUUUUAAUUGCUAAGGGCAUAUGUAUGUGCCCCCAUAAGCCGAGUCAUCAUAGUACCAAAAAGGUCUCUUGACGAUAUGAUUUAAGCAAGCAUCAUUAUUCAAGCCUUGUGGUUCCACUAUCUUCUUCUAGAAACACUGCCUUAAUGUAUCCCUCGUGGAGUCGUAUUCCUUACAGAGUUGGUCCAACCCAUUCUCAUAUGCCAACACUUGGCUACAUGUAUAAAUGGCCACGUCAUCUCUCUCUCUCUCUCUC